AAGAAAUUAGUUUAAACAAAAACAUUAGCUUGUCAAGCCAAAAAUAUUAGAUUAUAUUAUUAUUUCUUG
rnacentral:tRNA from 1 species